GACGUAGGGCGCAAGCGUUGUCCGGAUUUAUUGGGCGUAAAGAGCUCGUAGGCGGCUUGUUGCGUCGUCCGUGAAAACCUGGGGCUCAACUUCAGGUCUGCGGACGAUACGGGCAGGCUGGAGUUCGGUAGGGGAGACUGGAAUUCCUGGUGUAGCGGUGAAAUGCGCAGAUAUCAGGAGGAACACCGGUGGCGAAGGCGGGUCUCUGGGCCGAUACUGACGCUGAGGAGCGAAAGCGUGGGGAGCGAACAGG
rnacentral:rRNA from 1 species